rnacentral:lncRNA from 1 species
GUAUGGCAUGCAGGUGAGAUGUAAGAGUACAUCAUCACUGAAAGUGACCAACUACGAAGCACUCUACUGUCAAGGCUAGCUCACGAAAGGUAUGGGUAAAAGUGUCCCUCCGAUUUGAGAUCAUCACAGUGACUUGCAAGCAACUCACUGUACUUUGGUACUGCACUAAUUGAGUUUCUAAUUCAGUGAUAAAAGAUUUUUGGAUGCAG